rnacentral:rRNA from 1 species
GUGCCAGCAGCCGCGGUAAUACGUAGGGUGCGAGCGUUAAUCGGAAUUACUGGGCGUAAAGCGUGCGCAGGCGGUUUUGUAAGUCUGACGUGAAAGCCCCGGGCUUAACCUGGGAAUUGCGUUGGAGACUGCAAGGCUUGAAUCUGGCAGAGGGGGGUGGAAUUCCACGUGUAGCAGUGAAAUGCGUAGAGAUGUGGAGGAACACCGAUGGCGAAGGCAGCCCCCUGGGUCAAGAUUGACGCUCAUGCACGAAAGCGUGGGGAGCAAACAGGAUUAGAUACCCUGGUAGUCCACGCCCUAAACGAUGUCUACUAGUUGUCGGGUCUUAAUUGACUUGGUAACGCAGCUAACGCGUGAAGUAGACCGCCUGGGGAGUACGGUCGCAAGAUUAAAACUCAAAGAAAUUGACGGGA